AGCUGUCCAAUGGCUCAUGGAGCCAGAGAGAUGGCACCCCAGCAUGCUGUAGUCUAGCCUCUCCCACUGACCACCUGAGCCUGCUGAAGCUGGCUUAUAUAAGGCUUUGGAAAGAGAAAGGGCUUUGGGUUACUCUCUGGAAAUCAAGAAAAACUGUUCCAAGAUGUGUGUUGGAGAAGACCAGCUUCCGCAGCAAUGAACCCAGAAAAAAAUCUAUAUGUGUAUUUCUAGCACAGGGGCUGGCACAUACUGAGUGCUGAACUGAAUUGAACAGAUGCUAUAAGCAAGGAAGAGUCAAAUUUUGCAAGAUUUUACUGAGGAGGAAGGUGCUACCUCAAAGCCAGGUACUCUGCUCAGCAUGGGGGCUCUAGGAGUGACAUAGACACAGACGUUUCUGCCCCACAAAGCUUAUAACCCAGAUGAAAGGACAGACAUAUGAGUUUUAACUAAUUUGAUUCUUUAUACAAUAAAGAGGAGUACUAAGUACAUAGAGCUUUCAAGGGCCCAGGAAAAUAUUUAAGACAACUACAACAAAUUAUUGACAACACAAAAUUUUU
rnacentral:antisense_RNA from 1 species